rnacentral:rRNA from 1 species
CAGCAGCCACGGGAAUACGUAGGUGGCAAGCGUUGUCCGGAGUUAUUGGGCGUAAAGGGCUCGCAGGCGGUUUCUUAAGUCUGAUGUGAAAGCCCCCGGCUCAACCGGGGAGGGUCAUUGGAAACUGGGAAACUUGAGUGCAGAAGAGGAGAGUGGAAUUCCACGUGUAGCGGUGAAAUGCGUAGAGAUGUGGAGGAACACCAGUGGCGAAGGCGACUCUCUGGUCUGUAACUGACGCUGAGGAGCGAAAGCGUGGGGAGCGAACAGGAUUAGAUACCCCCGUAGUCCCUGUCUCUUAUAC